AAAGAUUAAGCCAUGCAUGUCUAAGUAUAAACAAAUUUGUACUGUGAAACUGCGAAUGGCUCAUUAAAUCAGUUAUAGUUUAUUUGAUGGUGCUUUGCUACAUGGAUAACUGUGGUAAUUCUAGAGCUAAUACAUGCAAUCAAGCCCCGACUUUUGGGAGGGGUGUAUUUAUUAGAUAAAAAACCAACGCGGUUCGCCGCUCCACUGGUGAUUCAUAAUAACUUCUCGAAUCGCAUGGCCUUGUGCCGGCGAUGCUUCAUUCGAAUAUCUGCCCUAUCAACUUUCGAUGGUAGAAUAGAGGCCUACCAUGGUUU
rnacentral:rRNA from 1 species